GGUUAAGCGACUAAGCGUACACGGUGGAUGCCCUGGCAGUCAGAGGCGAUGAAGGACGUGCUAAUCUGCGAUAAGCGUCGGUAAGGUGAUAUGAACCGUUAUAACCGGCGAUUUCCGAAUGGGGAAACCCAGUGUGUUUCGACACACUAUCAUUAACUGAAUCCAUAGG
rnacentral:rRNA from 2 species